AUGCGUUGUUGGGUAGGGGAGCGUUCUGUAAGCCUGUGAAGGUGUACUGUGAGGUAUGCUGGAGGUAUCAGAAGUGCGAAUGCUGACAUAAGUAACGAUAAAGCGGGUGAAAAGCCCGCUCGCCGGAAGACCAAGGGUUCCUGUCCAACGUUAAUCGGGGCAGGGUGAGUCGACCCCUAAGGCGAGGCCGAAAGGCGUAGUCGAUGGGAAACAGGUUAAUAUUCCUGUACUUGGUGUUACUGCGAAGGGGGGACGGAGAAGGCUAUGUUGGCCGGGCGACGGUUGUCCCGGUUUAAGCGUGUAGGCUGGUUUUCCAGGCAAAUCCGGAAAAUCAAGGCUGAGGCGUGAUGACGAGGCACUACGGUGCUGAAGCAACAAAUGCCCUGCUUCCAGGAAAAGCCUCUAAGCAUCAGGUAACAUCAAAUCGUACCCCAAACCGACACAGGUGGUCAGGUAGAGAAUACCAAGGCGCUUGAGAGAACUCGGGUGAAGGAACUAGGCAAAAUGGUGCCGUAACUUCGGGAGAAGGCACGCUGAUAUGUAGGUGAAGUCCCUCGCGGAUGGAGCUGAAAUCAGUCGAAGAUACCAGCUGGCUGCAACUGUUUAUUAAAAACACAGCACUGUGCAAACACGAAAGUGGACGUAUACGGUGUGACGCCUGCCCGGUGCCGGAAGGUUAAUUGAUGGGGUUAGCGCAAGCGAAGCUCUUGAUCGAAGCCCCGGUAAACGGCGGCCGUAACUAUAACGGUCCUAAGGUAGCGAAAUUCCUUGUCGGGUAAGUUCCGACCUGCACGAAUGGCGUAAUGAUGGCCAGGCUGUCUCCACCCGAGACUCAGUGAAAUUGAACUCGCUGUGAAGAUGCAGUGUACCCGCGGCAAGACGGAAAGACCCCGUGAACCUUUACUAUAGCUUGACACUGAACAUUGAGCCUUGAUGUGUAGGAUAGGUGGGAGGCUUUGAAGUGUGGACGCCAGUCUGCAUGGAGCCGACCUUGAAAUACCACCCUUUAAUGUUUGAUGUUCUAACGUUGACCCGUGAUCCGGGUUGCGGACAGUGUCUGGUGGGUAGUUUGACUGGGGCGGUCUCCUCCUAAAGAGUAACGGAGGAGCACGAAGGUUGGCUAAUCCUGGUCGGACAUCAGGAGGUUAGUGCAAUGGCAUAAGCCAGCUUGACUGCGAGCGUGACGGCGCGAGCAGGUGCGAAAGCAGGUCAUAGUGAUCCGGUGGUUCUGAAUGGAAGGGCCAUCGCUCAACGGAUAAAAGGUACUCCGGGGAUAACAGGCUGAUACCGCCCAAGAGUUCAUAUCGACGGCGGUGUUUGGCACCUCGAUGUCGGCUCAUCACAUCCUGGGGCUGAAGUAGGUCCCAAGGGUAUGGCUGUUCGCCAUUUAAAGUGGUACGCGAGCUGGGUUUAGAACGUCGUGAGACAGUUCGGUCCCUAUCUGCCGUGGGCGCUGGAGAACUGAGGGGGGCUGCUCCUAGUACGAGAGGACCGGAGUGGACGCAUCACUGGUGUUCGGGUUGUCAUGCCAAUGGCACUGCCCGGUAGCUAAAUGCGGAAGAGAUAAGUGCUGAAAGCAUCUAAGCACGAAACUUGCCCCGAGAUGAGUUCUCCCUGACUCCUUGAGAGUCCUGAAGGAACGUUGAAGACGACGACGUUGAUAGGCCGGGUGUGUAAGCGCAGCGAUGCGUUGAGCUAACCGGUACUAAUGAACCGUGAGG
rnacentral:rRNA from 1 species